GCCGAUGUAGCUCAGUGGCAGAGCAACGCCAUGGUAAGGCGUAGGUCGUGGGUUCAAUUCCCACCAUCGGCUCCA
rnacentral:tRNA from 1 species